rnacentral:rRNA from 1 species
CAGCCGCCGCGGUAAUACCGGCGGCCCGAGUGGCGGUCACUCUUAUUGGGCUUAAAGCGUCCGUAGCCGGGUUGGGAAGGCCUCCGGGAAAUCUGGCCGCUUAACGGUCAGAAUGCCGGAGGAUACUCCCAGCCUAGGGAGCGGGAGAGGCCGAGGGGAUUCCCGGGGUAGGGGUGGAAUCCUAUAAUCCCGGGAGGACCACCUGUGGCGAAGGCGCUCGGCUGGAACGCGUCCGACGGUGAGGGACGAAGGCCAGGGGAGCAAACCGGAUUAGAUACCCGGGUAGUCCUGGCUGUAAACGAUGCGGACUUUGUGUCGGACAAGCUAUGAGCUUGUCCGGUGCCGGAGGGAAACCGUUAAGUCCGCCGCCUGGGGAGUACGGCCGCAAGGCUGAAACUUAAAGGAAUUGGCGGG